GGAACAAUGUGGGGACCUCGUAAGUGCUCAGUAAGUGUAAGUUUCCUCGGUCCCUUCAUUGUUUCAUCCACUCAACAAGUACGCACGGAGCCCGCUGUGUGCCCGGCACAGAACACGGGGUCAUCUUUGAGUGCCCAUGAGCGCUCUCUCCUACGCUCCCCUGGUUAACCGCCGCAUCCACCCAGGAUUAGCCCUGUUUUAGCAGUGAGGAAUCUGAAGCUCAGGGAGGUGAAGAUUCUAUGGAACUUCUAGCAGGCACACUUACCUAGAACUCUCUGGGAGGGGAUGUGGUGGAAUUCUGUCUGAUUCCCAUGUCGAUACACCAGUGAGCUCUGUACCAUCGCCUCAGAGACAGGAGAGAGAAGACGGAAGUGGACCUGAGCCCGUCUUCAUGCACCCCCAGCUAGCACAUGGUGGGCAUUCAAGAAACAGAGGCUGGAUUGCAUUUUCUUUGAAGGCCAAAAUUUGCCCUCUGUGUCUAAGGUGUCAUUCGAUACGACAACAAGGAUGUAGGGCAGUGAUCAACUAAAGAGCAUCACAAGAAUCAUCUGAGGAGACCUGUUAAAAUGCAGAUUCUGGGUCCUGGCUCCAGAGCUUCUGAUUCAGGCGGGUCCAGGAAAGACUUUCAACAAGACCCUCCAAUUACGCUGACACAAAUACAUCACAGAGGAUGUGGACGUUAUGAUAAAAUCACAGCCAAGCCAGGUGGAGUUCAGUUUUUGUCCUCUGACGGGAGCUGUUCCCAAACAUAUCCCCACUAAUAUUUAUAAUUUCUUUUCCUUAUAGGAGGGAAGAAGCCAGUGGUGUGCUGGUAAAUGUUUUAACUGACUUUCUGGGGAAAAAAU
ensembl:lncRNA